rnacentral:tRNA from 1 species
GGGCCGUUAGCUCAGUUGGCAGAGCAGCGGCCUUUUAAGCCGCGGGUCGCUGGUUCGAAUCCAGCACGGCUCA